rnacentral:rRNA from 1 species
UUCCCCUAGUAACGGCGAGUGAAGCGGGAAAAGCUCAAAUUUGAAACCUGGCCUCUUCGAGGAAAAUGUCGCAGGGUUGUAGUUUAUAGAGGCGUUUUCGAUGGAAUCCUGGGUAUAAGUCUUUUGGAACAAGGCAUCAUAGAGGGUGAGAAUCCCGUCUUUGACUCAGAGUUUUCCAUUAUGUGAUACGUCUUCAUAGAGUCGAGUUGUUUGGGAAUGCAGCUCAAAAUGGGUGGUAAAUCUCAUCUAAAGCUAAAUAUUGGCGAGAGACCGAUAGCGAACAAGUACCGUGAGGGAAAGAUGAAAAGAACUUUGAAAAGAGAGUUAAACAGUACGUGAAAUUGUUGAAAGGGAAACGUUUGAAAUCAGUCAUUUCUUCUGGAAAUCAGCCUUGCUUUUGCAUGGUGUAUUUUCCAGUUGAAAGGUUAACGUCAAUUUUGGUUGUCGGAUAAAAGCCUUUGGAAUGUGGCUCUCUUCGGGGAGUGUUAUAGCCAAGGUCAAUACGAUGACUGGGAUUGAGGAUUCGCCGCCAAUGCUCUCUGGGCAGUGGCAUCAUGCGCUCAGGUUAACACUCUGCUAGACAGCUUGCUGACUAGUAGUUUGAAGAUUUGACUCGUGUGGUUCCCACUAAUUGGCGUAGGACGUUAACUUAAUGGUU